rnacentral:tRNA from 1 species
GCCCUUGUAGCCCAACCGGUAGAGGCAGCGGACUUAAAAUCCGUCCAGUAUGGGUUCGAAUCCCAUCAAGGGCA